AUUGAACGCUGGCGGCAGGCCUAACACAUGCAAGUCGAGCGGCAGCGGGAAGUAGCUUGCUACUUUGCCGGCGAGCGGCGGACGGGGGAGUAAUGUCUGGGAAACUGCCUGAUGGAGGGGGAUAACUACUGGAAACGGUAGCGAAUACCGCAUAACGUCGCAAGACCAAAGAGGGGGACCUUCGGGCCUCUUGCCAUCAGAUGUGCCCAGAUGGGGUUAGCUAGUAGGUGGGGUAAUGGCUCACCUAGGCGACGAUCCCUAGCUGGUCUGAGGGGAUGACCAGCCACACUGGAACUGAGACACGGUCCAGACUCCUACGGGAGGCAGCAGUGGGGAAUAUUGCACAAUGGGCGCAAGCCUGAUGCAGCCAUGCCGCGUGUAUGAAGAAGGCCUUCGGGUUGUAAAGUACUUUCAGCGGGGAGGAAGGUGUUGAGGUUAAUAACCUCAGCAAUUGACGUUACCCGCAGAAGAAGCACCGGCUAACUCCGUGCCAGCCGCCGCGGUAA
rnacentral:rRNA from 1 species